rnacentral:rRNA from 1 species
UACGUAGGGUGCAAGCGUUAAUCGGAAUUACUGGGCGUAAAGCGUGCGUAGGUGGUUCGUUAAGUCUGACUGUGAAAUCCCCGGGCUCAACCUGGGAACUGCAUUUGUGACUGCACGGCUGGAGUGCGGCAGAGGGGGAUGGAAUUCCGCGUGUAGCAGUGAAAUGCGUAGAUAUGCGGAGGAACACCGAUGGCGAAGGCAAUCCCCUGGGCCUGCACUGACGCUCAUGCACGAAAGCGUGGGGAGCAAACAGG